UACGUAGGGUGCAAGCGUUAAUCGGAAUUACUGGGCGUAAAGCGUGCGCAGGCGGUUCGCUAAGACAGAUGUGAAAUUCCCGGGCUUAACCUGGGGACUGCAUUUGAUACGUGUCGUCUUGAGUUCGGAAGAGGGUCGUGGAAUUCCCAGUGUAGAGGUGAAAUUCGUAGAUAUUGGGAAGAACACCGGUGGCGAAGGCGGCUCACUGGCUCAUUACUGACGCUCAGGCGCGAUAGCGUGGGGAUCAAACAGG
rnacentral:rRNA from 1 species